rnacentral:sRNA from 1 species
GGAUGUGUAGGCGAUCUGGCUACAACAUAUGUCACCCCAUUGAUUGCCAGGGUUAAUUUAGCUUAUCUGGCCAGCUAGGUGGGUGUCUCCGUCCUCCCUCAACACUCCACGUGCAUACCCUCCUGAAGCUGUGUACUUGGUUGAAGAGGAUGACCUUCCUGAUAGAGGAGGACUGGUUUUUGGUCUAAGCAAGCUCUCAAGAAAUUAUUAGGAAGGGCAGUUGGAGAUGUAGCUCAGUUGAUAGAAUGCUUGCCU